GUGCUCGCUUCAGCAGCAUAUAUACUAAAACUGGAACAAUGCAGAGAAGAUUAGCAUGGCCCCUUUGCAAGGAUGAUAAGCAAAUUCAUGAAGCGUUCCAUAUUUUU
ensembl:snRNA U6 U6 spliceosomal RNA